GGAUGUGAGGGCGAUCUGGCUGCGACAUCUGUCACCCCAUUGAUCGCCAGGGUUGAUUGGGCUGAUCUGGCUGGCUAGGUGGGUGUCCCCUUCCUCCCUCACCACUCCAUGUGUGUCCCUCCCAAAGCUGCGCGCUCGGUCGAAGAGGACAACCAUCUCCAAUAGAGGAGGACCGGUCUUCGGUCAAGGGUAUACGAGUAGCUGCGCUCCCCUGCUAGAACCUCCAAACAAGCUCUCAAGGUCCAUUUGUAGGAGAACGUAGGGUAGUCAAGCUUCCAAGACUCCAGACACAUCCAAAUGAGGCGCUGCAUGUGGCAGUCUGCCUUU
rnacentral:snRNA from 1 species